rnacentral:rRNA from 1 species
AACGAACGCUGGCGGCAGGCUUAACACAUGCAAGUCGAACGCCCCGCAAGGGGAGUGGUAGACGGGUGAGUAACACGUGGGGGUCUGCCCAAUGGUACGGAAUAAUUCCGGGAAACUGGGACUAAUACCGUAUGUGCCCGCAAGGGGAAAGAUUUAUCGCCAUUGGAUGAACCCGCGUCGGAUUAGCUAGUUGGUGAGGUAAAGGCUCACCAAGGCGACGAUCCGUAGCUGGUCUGAGAGGAUGAUCAGCCACACUGGGACUGAGACACGGCCCAGACUCCUACGGGAGGCAGCAGUGGGGAAUAUUGGACAAUGGGCGCAAGCCUGAUCCAGCCAUGCCGCGUGAGUGAUGAAGGCCUUAGGGUUGUAAAGCUCUUUCGCCGACGAAGAUAAUGACGGUAGUCGGAGAAGAAGCCCCGGCUAACUUCGUGCCAGCCGCCGCCGUAAUAC